UUCGACUCUUGAACCAGGCUUAGCUCUGAUCAAGUAUUAGGAUAAGGAAGUAGGAAGUCCGCUAUGUUUUUCACAUUUACUAAUAUUCAAUCAUAGAACAAAUAAAUUAGGAGUUGGUCCUGAUCAGCAAGAAAGUUAUCAGCGGAAAAUGAAAUUCAAUUGACGGGACGGGCUUUGGAAGUCAAUUGCCACUACUUUUGGCCAAAUCAAUUGGUGCAUAAAAGUAGCACUUUAGUCAUAAAACCCUACAAUACAGAAUAGCUAGCUAGAUGCAGUGUACUGUACUAUCGACCUGUGGCCCGUCGGGACGACAUUCAUCGUCUGCCACAAAAUCAUUCUCUGGAAGAGGAGUAGACAUAGAUCUGUCAUGGUUUGAAACGAAUACGGGGACAUGAUGGUAACAACAGCUCCGGUUCCAUACUAGAUACGUGCAGAGCUAUUGACGAAAUCGGGCCAGAAAAAACCUGAAAGCACCGUGAUGUAGCCAAAUUCAGUGCCCCAGCUGCUCAAAGAUUUGGAAAUGGCCAACAGAAGUCGUACUUGCGAUUGAGCAUAAAUUCAUUGAAUCCAAAACAAAAUCAGAUGACUCGUGCUGAUCUGCACAGAUUUUGCUACGUUCCGCUAUUUUGGUAGGUGCUUUUGUUACCUUACAAAGAUUGAAAUCUUCCAAAAGAACACAAGUAGGAUACUUGUAUAAUUUGUUCAAUGAGGGGUUGCUUGUUAAAUUCACUCAAGUGAACAGGUGGAUCAUGAAACAGUAAAAAAAAAUGACCUGGAAAUUGGUUGGAA
rnacentral:lncRNA from 1 species